UCUGAACCAUUUAAUGUACUUGGGUUGACACGAAAGCCAUACAAAGACAUGUACCACAACAUGUACAUACUAAGCAGCCCUUUACGCAACACCUUUGGAGCCUGCAGUAUUGUAUCUUGACUACAACUCAAUUUAAUAUGCACCCCAAACUCCCUUCCUGGCAGUUUUAUUCACUGACACAGGUGAAUUAUUUAUUUAUAUCACAAAGCACAGGCACUUACUUUCUUCAGGGUUGUGAUCAUCUCUGUGUGUUUCUGAGCUUGUUGCAUUGUUACCUGAAGUGAAGCGAGUUCAUCCAGUGCCUCAAUGCAUCUGUUCACAUCCUUCAUGACAAAACAGCAAUGUCACAACUGUUAAUUACCACAGCAUCUUGUACUCUACUUCUGAAGAUCUAAAAGCUCUUACGGUGGUACAAAAAUGGCCAGGUAUUGUUCCUUUUAUCUUAAACUUAUACACUUAAGUCAUGUGAGAAUAUAUAUAAAGCUGUUAAAGCAGUGUAUUUUAAAUGACGUUAAACACUUACUAGAUUAUCAAUUUUGAGUGAAUUUUUAAUUUCAGCAUGUAUCCUUUGAAGUCGAGAAUCCAUUGAUGUUUCUAUAAAUUGAAAUAUGUGAAAAACAGUAAAUAGUUUUUCCCCACACCAUAUCUCUGUACAUUUAAACACAUAAAAGUAAUGGUGUUAUAAUAAUUCUUUCAUAAUCUUUAAUAAACUCAUAGAUGGAAUAGUGU
rnacentral:lncRNA from 1 species